AUGAACGCUAGCGGGAGGCCUCACACAUGCAAGCCGAGCGGUAUUGUUUCCUCGGAACUGCGAGAGCGGCGUACGGGUGCGUAACACGUGUGCAACCUGCCUUUAUCUGGGGGAUAGCCUUUCGAAAGGAAGAUUAAUACUCCAUAAUAUAUUGAACGGCAUCGUUUAAUAUUGAAAGCUCCGGCGGAUAGAGAUGGGCACGCGCAAGAUUAGCUAGUUGGUGAGGUAACGGCUCACCAAGGCGAUGAUCUUUAGGGGGCCUGAGAGGGUGAUCCCCCACACUGGUAAUGAGACACGGACCAGACUCCUACGGGAGGCAGCAGUGAGGAAUAUUGGUCAAUGGGUGCAAGCCUGAACCAGCCAUCCCGCGUGAAGGACGACUGCCCUAUGGGUUGUAAACUUCUUUUGUAUAGGGAUAAACCUACCCUCGAGAGGGUAGCUGAAGGUACUAUACGAAUAAGCACCGGCUAACUCCGUG
rnacentral:rRNA from 1 species